rnacentral:rRNA from 1 species
ACUACGGGAGGCAGCAGUGGGGGAUAUUGCACAAUGGGGGGAACCCUGAUGCAGCGACGCCGCGUGGGUGAAGAAGCGCCUCGGCGCGUAAAGCCCUGUCAGCAGGGAAGAAAAUGACGGUACCUGAAGAAGAAGCCCCGGCUAACUACGUGCCAGCAGCCGCGGUAAUACGUAGGGGGCAAGCGUUAUCCGGAUUUACUGGGUGUAAAGGGGGCGCAGACGGCGAUGCAAGCCAGGAGUGAAAGCCCGGGGCCCAACCCCGGGACUGCUCUUGGAACUGCGUGGCUGGAGUGCAGGAGGGGCAGGCGGAAUUCCUGGUGUAGCGGUGAAAUGCGUAGAUAUCAGGAGCAACACCGGUGGCGAAGGCGGCCUGCUGGACUGCAACUGACGUUGAGGCCCGAAAGCGUGGGGAGCAAACAGGAUUAGAUACCCCAGUAGUC